rnacentral:rRNA from 1 species
UAAAUUGUAAUUUUUUAUUAGUAGGUAUUGCAUAUCAUUUAAGGAAAAUUUUAUUUUUAAUAAAAUAUAAAAUUAAAAGGUAGAAUUUUUAUUAUUUUUAUUGUUUCAUAAUAAAAAUUAUAAAAUUUAGGGUUGAAAAGUCGACUUUUAGGAUAUUUGUUUAAAGAAUUGUUAUUAGAAAUUUAUAUUAUUAAUUAAAGAUUUAAUAUAAAAAGUAUAAGUUGAAGUAUUUUUAUGGUUAGUUUUAUAACUGUUUAUAUAUAGGAUAAAUUUUGUUUAGUGGGUGAAAAAUAAAGUUAUUAAAUUUGUAAUAACUUGAUUAUUUUAAAAUAAGUAAUUAGUUAAAAUUAUUUAAAAAUUUUAAAUUUAAUAAAAUAACUAAAAAAUUAAUCAAAUGUUUUUUAAAGACUUAGACUUUUUAAUAAAGUUUGCUUCUGCCCAAUGAAUAUAAUUAAAUGGCAGUCUUAGCGUGAGGACAUUAAGGUAGCAAAAUAAUUUGUGCUUUUAUUGAGUUCCAGUAUGAAUGAAGUUAUUGGUUAAUUAUUUUUUUAUUUUAUAAAUGAAUUUAAUUUAAUAUAAAAAAAUAUUGUUAUAAUAACACAAAGAUAAGUCUUCGGAAAUUCUAUUUUAAAGUUAAUUAACAAUUUUAUUAAUUUUAAAAAUUUUCUAGGGCAGAAUUUUAUAUAAUUAAGUAUUCUAUUAAUAAUUAUAAGAAUUACUCCGGAGUUAACAGAAAAUCAUACCUAAUCUAGUUCUUAUAGUAAGGUAAGUUUUACAUCGAUGUUGUAUUUAAGUUUAUUAAAAAAGGAGAAAAUUUAAGUUUUAAGACUGUUCUUCUUUUAAUUAAUUUAACGUGAUAUUAGUUUAAUUCAUUGUGAAGAAGAAUUGUUUUCUUUGGUUGUUAUUAAUUUUUAGUUUUAAUAGUACGAAAGGAAAAUUAAAAAAAGUUUUAAACUUUUAAAAGAAUUAAAGUUUCUU